rnacentral:snRNA from 1 species
CUGCUUCAGCAGCAUAUAUACUAAAAUUGGAACGAUACAGAGAAGAUUAGCAUGGCCCCUGUGCAAGGAUGACACAAAUUUGUGAAAUAUUCCAAACAAAU